rnacentral:rRNA from 1 species
CCUACGGGAGGCAGCAGUGGGGAAUUUUGGACAAUGGGGGCAACCUGAUCCAGCCAUGCCGCGUGAGUGAAGAAGGCCUUCGUCGUUGUAAAGCUCUUUCGGACGGAAAGAAAUCGCCGCAGGUAAAUAAUCUGCGUGGAUGACGGUACCGUAAGAAAAAGCACCGGCUAACUACGUGCCAGCAGCCGCGGUAAUACGUAGGGUGCGAGCGUUAAUCGGAAUUACUGGGCGUAAAGCGUGCGCAGGCGGCUUUGUAAGACAGGUGUGAAAUCCCCGGGCUUAACCUGGGAAUGGCGCUUGUGACUGCAAGGCUCGAGUGCGGCAGAGGGGGGUGGAAUUCCACGUGUAGCAGUGAAAUGCGUAGAGAUGUGGAGGAACACCGAUGGCGAAGGCAGCCCCCUGGGUCGACACUGACGCUCAUGCACGAAGGCGUGGGGAGCAAACAGGAUUAGAUAGCCUGGUAGUCCACGCCCUAAACGAUGCCAACUAGUUGUUGGGGAAGGAGACUUCCUUAGUAACGAANCUAACGCGUGAAGUUGGCCGCCUGGGGAGUACGGUCGCAAGAUUAAACUYAAAGGAAUUGACGG